CGCCUGGGGAGUACGGCCGCAAGGCUAAAACUCAAAGGAAUUGACGGGGGCCCGCACAAGCGGCGGAGCAUGCGGAUUAAUUCGAUGCAACGCGAAGAACCUUACCAAGGCUUGACAUGUCUCGAUCGCCGUAGAGAUACGGUUUCCCCUUGGGGCGGGUUCACAGGUGGUGCAUGGUUGUCGUCAGCUUGUGUCGUGAGAUGUUGGGUUAAGUCCCGCAACGAGCGCAACCCUCGUUCCAUGUUGCCAGCACGUCGUGUGGGGACUCAUGGGAGACUGCCGGGGUUAACUCGGAGGAAGGUGAGGACGACGUCAAAUCAUCAUGCCCCUUAUGUCUUGGGCUUCACGCAUGCUACAAUGGCCGGUACAAUGGGUUGCGAUACUGUGAGGUGGAGCUAAUCCCAAAAAGCCGGUCUCAGUUCGGAUUGGGGUCUGCAACUCGACCCCAUGAAGUCGGAGUCGCUAGUAAUCGCAGAUCAGAAUGCUGCGGUGAAUACGUUCCCGGGCCUUGAACACACCGCCCGUC
rnacentral:rRNA from 1 species